rnacentral:rRNA from 2 species
AACGAACGCUGGCGGCAUGCCUAACACAUGCAAGUCGAACGAGACCUUCGGGUCUAGUGGCGCACGGGUGCGUAACACGUGGGAAUCUGCCCAGAGGUUCGGAAUAACACAGAGAAAUUUGUGCUAAUACCGGAUGAUGUCGCAAGACCAAAGAUUUAUCGCCUUUGGAGGAGCCCGCGUAGGAUUAGGUAGUUGGUGGGGUAAAGGCUCACCAAGCCGACGAUCCUUAGCUGGUCUGAGAGGAUGAUCAGCCACACUGGGACUGAGACACGGCCCAGACUCCUACGGGAGGCAGCAGUGGGGAAUAUUGGACAAUGGGCGAAAGCCUGAUCCAGCAAUGCCGCGUGAGUGAAGAAGGCCUUCGGGUUGUAAAGCUCUUUUACCCGGGAAGAUAAUGACUGUACCGGGAGAAUAAGCCCCGGCUAACUCCGUG